rnacentral:misc_RNA from 1 species
CAGAGUUCGUGCCCUUCGGGGUAGACCUCCCACCCUUUGUAUAUAUACUAUUGUUGCUUCGGCGGCUCGCCGCGAGGCCCUCGGCUUCGGCUGGGGCGUGGCCGCCGGAGGACCCCAAACCCUGAACGUCAGUGUCGUCUGAGUACUAUACAAUAGUUA